UACGGGGGGAGCAAGCGUUGUUCGGAUUUACUGGGCGUAAAGGGCGCGUAGGCGGUCAGCACAAGUCAGUUGUGAAAUCUCCGGGCUUAACUCGGAAAGGUCAACUGAUACUGUGCGACUAGAGUGCGGAAGGGGCAACUGGAAUUCUCGGUGUAGUGGUGAAAUGCGUAGAUAUCGGGAGGAACACCAGUGGCGAAGGCGACUUCCUGGCCUGUUCUUGACGCUGAGGCGCGAAAGCUAGGGUAGCAAACGGG
rnacentral:rRNA from 1 species